CAUGGAGAGUGACGAUUUGUCUCAACCCUUUUCUCAAUUCUCUUUUUGUGACCUUCUUUUCCUCAUCCAAGUUACUACCAGAUCCAUAACUACCAGAUUUACAUGGUUUGGUUAAUCAAUCCAGAUUUGCAAGAGCUUGUGCGCUAGAACACACCAUGUUUGUGAUGAUGGCAUCGUCCUGACUUGCUGCUGUUCUUUGCCAGGAGGCAGUGUGGAUGCUGGGGUGUUACUCUCAGAGAAUAUGAAAUUCAUGAGCUGUCACGUGGACAAGAUCGUCAUGUGGCUUCAGCCACUAUUCCCUGAGCUUGUGGGACAGACGAUACGUCACCAUGCUGUUAGCCACAGUCAGACAAGGACCGUCGUAACCUGGAGCCUGGACGUGCCUGAAAUGGAGUCUCGAGAGGCAUUCGUAGGAAGUCUGAGGGCGUCCUCUCGGAGGAUGAAUUGUUGCCGAAGCCAGAAUUGCCAAGAGGCAGCUCAGUGGCCCAGGCCUGCAGAUGCCCCCUCUCCCAUUUUCAUGGGGCUUACUCUGUAUGACUCACUUCCUUCAAGCCACAUUGAGGGCAGUUCAUUAGGAAACAGGACAAAGAAACUGGCCACAUUCCAAAGGAACAGAGGAUCUCACAGGUUCCUUCAGGAACAUGUAGCAACACUGGACACUGCAGAUGCCUCAUUCCAGACCAGAGGCUUCUAGCAUGUCUUCAGUAGGAGGAGCUAAAUUUCAAAUCCCUCACUUUCUGGUCUUUGGCAAAUAAUUAUCAAUAUUCCUUUGAUAAAGACCUUACAAGAUUUA